rnacentral:misc_RNA from 1 species
AACGCACAUUGCGCCCUCUGGUAUUCCGGGGGGCAUGCCUGUUCGAGCGUCAUUACAACCCUCAAGCUCUGCUUGGUAUUGGGCACUGCAGGUUUCUGCAGGCCUUAAAAUCAGUGGCGGUGCCAUUCGGCUUCAAGCGUAGUAAUUCUUCUCGCUUUGGAGACCCGAGUGGUUACUAGCCAACAACCCCCAAUUUUUUCAGGUUGACCUCGGAUCAGGUAGGGAUACCCGCUGAACUUAA